rnacentral:misc_RNA from 2 species
GAAAUGCGAUAAGUAAUGUGAAUUGCAGAAUUCAGUGAAUCAUCGAAUCUUUGAACGCACAUUGCGCCCUUUGGCAUUCCGAAGGGCAUGCCUGUUCGAGCGUCAUUACACCAAUCAAGCCUGGCUUGGUAUUGGGCGACAGGGCCGUCACACGCCCUCCGCCCCAAUGACUGCCGGCGGGACGGACCGAAUCUCAGCGUUGUGAAUCAAAAGCCGCUGGCGAGACGGGACGGCCGUGCCGUUAAACAACCCCAUCAAAGGUUGACCUCGGAUCAGGUAGGGAUACCCGCUGAACUUAA